rnacentral:lncRNA from 1 species
CUUCUUCAUUUAAUUAACUUCUCAGCUCCCAUUCUGACCCUCCGGUCAUCCUUGCAGCUCGGGCACCAACUCCUCACCAACAUCGAGAUGACAAACAAGGCGGUGGAAGGUCAGCAGGCCGAGGCUGCCCACCUUAAGGAAAUGGCCCUCGAGGCGGCCGAUCUCUGAGAGGUGCUUGAGAGAGAGAGAGACAGACCUCGGUGGAACAGAAGGCCGCCUUGGAGGAGAUGGUGAGGAGGGCGGAGGCCGAGGUUGCCAACAUGGUGGAACAGAUCCCGACCCUGAUCUCGGAGGCCAGGGGUCAAGCGGUGGAGGAGUUCAAGGCUUCCACCGAAAUGAAGAAGUUGAAGGUUGAGUUCGGCCAAGCCGCAUUCAAUAA